rnacentral:tRNA from 1 species
GCGGUUAGUAGCUCAUUCGGUAGAGCGUUUGUCUUCCAGGCAAAAGGUAGGUGGUUCAAUUCCACCCAAUCGCU